ensembl:lncRNA
CAGGGACAUGACAAAGAUUUUUCUUUUGCAGCCCCCCCUCCUCUCCUCUUCAGGAAGCUGAGUAAUCCCGACCUAUCACCUGCAGCAGCGACCGCCACAAAAUCCAAACUUCACAGACAGCUCAGCCAGGAUGAGAGCCGGGCUCGACGCAGCAGCAUGGCUAUGACUGGUAAGCAGCUGCUGCCUCUGUCUAGCAGUCUGCACACAGGGGUGAGUCAGCUAGCCUGGCAAGGGGCCUCUGGAGGAGAGGUGAACAACCUGGUCCGCAUGAGGAGCCAGGCUCUGGGACAGUCUGCUCCAUCACUCACUGGACUGAAGGAGUUGAGCCUUCCCAGAAGAGGCAGCUUCUGUCGGACGAGCAACAGGAAAAGCCUGAUAGUGACAUCUAGCACCUCCCCCACUCUGCCACGACCACACUCUCCUCUGCACGGGCACACAGGUACCAGUCCCCUCGACAGCCCUCGCAACUUCUCCCCGAACACAGCUGCACACUUCUCCUUUGUUCCUGCUCGCAGGACGGAUGGCAGACGCUGGUCUCUGGCCUCCCUGCCUUCCUCUGGCUAUGGUACCAACACUCCCAGCUCCACUGUCUCGUCCUCCUGUUCAUCUCAGGAGAAACUGCACCAGCUGCCCUUCCAGCCCACGCCGGACGAGCUGCACUUCCUCACCAAACACUUCAGCUCAGAGAGCAUCACAGACGAGGAGGGACGCCGCUCCCCCGCCAUGAGACCGCGCUCCCGCAGCCUCAGCCCGGGACGCUCCCCCAUCUCCUUUGACCAUGAGAUUGUUAUGAUGAACCAUGUGUACAAGGAGAGGUUCCCUAAGGCGACGGCUCAAAUGGAGGAGCGACUGGCUGAGCUGCUCUCCUCCUCGGCCCCAGAGAAAGUCUGCCCACUGGCCGACGGGGUCCUGAGCUUCAUCCACCAUCAGCUGAUAGAGCUGUCAAGAGACUGCCUGGAGAAAAGCAGAGAGGGCCUCAUCACUUCUCGCUACUUCUACGAGCUCCAGGAGAAUCUGGAGAAGCUGCUGCAAGAUGCUCACGAGCGCUCAGAGAGUGUGGAGGUUACCUUUGUCACACAACUUGUAAAGAAACUGAUGAUCAUCAUUGCCCGGCCUGCACGCCUGCUGGAGUGUCUGGAGUUUGAUCCUGAGGAAUUUUACCACUUGUUGGAAGCAGCAGAGGGCCAUGCCAAGGAGGGCCAGGGCAUCAAGUCCGACAUCCCCAGAUACAUCAUCAGCCAGCUGGGCCUUACCAGGGACCCCCUGGAGGAGACCCGGCAGCGUUUCGCCAUGAAGAAGAUCAACAAACAGAACCUGAUUCUGAGAAACCAGAUCCAGCAGGCCUUUGUGGAACGAGACAUCCUGACGUUUGCUGAGAACCCGUUUGUCGUCUCUAUGUUCUGUUCUUUUGAGACUAGGAGGCACCUCUGCAUGGUGAUGGAGUAUGUAGAGGGUGGAGACUGUGCCACGCUGCUGAAGAAUAUUGGAGCCCUGCCGGUCGAUAUGGCUCGUAUGUACUUUGCAGAGACCGUCCUCGCAUUAGAGUAUCUUCAUAAUUAUGGCAUCGUCCACAGAGACCUUAAACCAGACAAUCUUCUCAUCACUUCGAUGGGACACAUUAAGCUGACAGACUUUGGUCUGUCUAAGAUUGGUUUGAUGAGUUUGACGACAAACCUGUAUGAAGGACACAUUGAGAAAGACACCAGAGAAUUCCUGGAUAAGCAGGUGUGUGGCACCCCAGAGUACAUCGCCCCAGAGGUGAUUCUACGUCAAGGCUACGGGAAACCGGUGGACUGGUGGGCGAUGGGAGUCAUCCUGUACGAGUUCCUGGUGGGCUGCGCUCCCUUCUUCGGAGACACACCAGAGGAACUGUUUGGGCAGGUCAUCAGUGAUGAGAUUAUGUGGCCUGAGGAGGAUGAAGCUCUGCCUCAGGAGGCUCAGGAUCUCAUCUCCAAACUGCUAAGACAAAACCCCCUGGAGCGACUGGGCACAGGAAGUGCCUAUGAGGUGAAGCAGCACCCAUUCUUCACAGAGCUGGACUGGAACAGCCUGCUGAGACAGAAAGCAGAAUUCAUCCCCCAGCUGGAGUCUGAGGACGACACCAGCUACUUUGACACUCGGUCUGAUCGGUACCACCACGUCGAUUCAGAGGAAGAAGACGACACCAACGAUGAUGAACACGUGGAGAUUCGGCAGUUCUCCUCCUGCUCACCUCGCUUCAGCAAGGUGUACAGUAGUAUGGAGCGUCUAUCCCUGCACGAGGAGAAGAGGACUCCUCCUCCCACCAAACGCAGCCUCAGUGAGGAAGGAGGAGAUCGCAUUGACAGCCUGAGUGGACUCAAGUCCAGAGAUCGAUCCUGGCUGGUGGGCUCUCCAGAGAUACUGCGGAAGCGUCUGUCAGUCUCUGAGUCGUCCCACACAGAGAGUGACUCCAGCCCACCUCUGACAGUCCGGAGACGCUGCUGCUCUGCUAUCAUUGAGAUGCCACGCUUUGCCAUCUCCUCUGAAGAGGAAGGAGGCCAUGUGAGAGGUCCCCGGGGCGAAGAGCUCCCCCUCGCCAUCCCAGAGAUCCCAGUGGAGAGAGAGCUGAAGCUGGACGAGUCUCCCACCACCCCAAGCUCCACCUGUAGCCAGCUAAGCAGGGCCACGCUCACACGUCACAACGGUGGUACGGGUGGGGCUGCUAAAAGUGCAGCCGACAGUGACUCUCCAUCGACUCCAAAGGCCAUCAGUGACCUGGCUGCUCGCAGGGCUCGCCAUCGGCUGCUGUCAGGAGACACGGACAAGCAUACCACAACGCCGAGCUCCUUCUGUACGUCCUCAGACCACCAUGGAGCCUCCCCACUAGCCAGCCCAAUGUCACCCCACUCGUUAUCUUCCAACCCAUCAUCACGAGACUCUUCUCCAAGCCGAGACCUGUCCCCUGCCGUGAGCAGCAUCAAACCUGCCAUCAUCAUCCACAGAGCGGGAAAGAAGUACGGAUUCACAUUAAGAGCCAUCCGCGUCUAUAUGGGAGACUCUGACAUCUACACGGUGCACCACAUGGUCUGGCAUGUGGAGGGGGGCGGUCCAGCCCAUGAAGCCGGGCUGAGGGAGGGCGAUCUGAUCACUCAUGUCAACGGAGAGCCGGUCCACGGUCUGGUUCACACUGAGGUGGUGGAGCUCAUACUGAAGAGCGGUGCCAAAGUGUCCAUCUCUGCCACCCCGUUUGAGAACACGUCCAUCAAAGUCGGCCCUGCCCGAAAAACAAGCCACAAAUCCAAGAUGGCGCGACGCAACAAGAAGACCAAGAACAAGGAGGGACAAGACAGUAAGAAGAGGACGUCUCUGUUCAGGAAGAUCACCAAGCAGGCGUCUCUCCUCCACACCAGCCGCAGUCUUUCUUCUCUAAACCGCUCUUUGUCCUCUGGGGAGAGUGGACCCGGCUCACCAACACACAAUCUGUCACCACGGAGCCCAACACAGGGCUACAGGUCCAUACCUGACUCUGCCCACUCAGUUGGUGGAAACUCAUCUCAGAGCAGCUCCCCCAGCUCUAGCGUCCCAAACUCCCCGGCAAGUUCUGGCCACAUCCGCCCCAGCUCCCUGCACGGUCUCGCCCCGAAGCUCCAGCGUCAGUACCGCUCUCCACGACGCAAGUCUGCUGGCAACAUCCCCCUCUCCCCUCUGGCCCGCACACCUUCACCCACACCUCAGAGCAGCUCACCUCAGCGCUCACCCUCCCCGCUGCCUAGCCACAGUCUGGGACAGGCUGCUGUGGGCCAGUCAUUCCCUGUGAAGCUCCACUCCUCCCCUCCCCUGGUGAGGCAGAUAUCCAGACCUAAAAGUGCAGAGCCUCCUCGUUCACCACUUCUCAAGAGGGUGCAGUCUGCUGAGAAACUGGCUAAGCUGCCAGUGGGAGCAGCUGUGGGGAGUCGUAAACACAGCCUGGACAUCUCACAUUCAGAGUUUAAGAAGGAGAUUCUGCAGAGGGAGCCGAGCCUCUUUGUGUUGAUUUCAGGGAGUCAACCAAGUAAGCUGAAGGACAAACUGUCCGCCAUUCGACAGGACAGAGCAGAACGCAGGGAAUCGCUUCAAAAGCAAGAUGCCAUCCACGAGGUUGAUUCAUCUGAGGACGAGACAGAUGAGGGCUCAGAGGACAGCCAGGAUGGACGCAGGGGGACGACUUUUACCCCUCCCCCCCUCCUGAGGCCCACCACUGUGAGAACAGGCCCUGGGGGCACUCUGCCGUCCCUCUGCCUCUCCCCAUCCACUCCCCACGCCACAUUCACGCACACUGGGCCCUCACAGAUCGGCAGACCCACUCCCUCACACACCCUCCCCUCCGUUUCCGAAACAAAGUCUGCACAGAGCUUGUCAUCGGUGGGAGUAAAGGAGGGGAGCUCCAGCUCCUCAACAGAAGAGGGUGCAAGACAAGAGAGGAGGGUUCUGGAGCCAAGCGGUACCACCAAACCCACUCAGGGUCCCCUUCCCUUCUCCACUCCAGGCAGUGCAUUCAUCUCCGUCAGCAAGGACAUGUUCCUCAAGCCAACUCCUCCACAAGACUCAAAGGGCCUCAGAGGGAAGACGGGACCAUCAGAGCUCAGAGCAGAGGAUCAAACCCUGGAUAGCCCUAGAACCACUGCUCCAUCAACGACGAGCAAUACAAGUACUCCUGACUGCAGAACUACAACUAAGUCCCCAGACUCCCACACCGCCACAAGCACUACAGACAGCCAAGAGACUCCCCGCACGUCCUGCUCCUCUCCAGGCAUCCCCAAAGAGAAGAAGGAGGCCGACAACCGGAGACUAUGUGCCGCCGCUGCAGCUGCAAGUCUGAGUGCGUCUUCUUCGCCCAAUUCUAGCUCCAACUCAAGCUCCAGCUCCCCGGUUCCACCCUCUGAGAGUGGGGUAGACAGAGUUGUGUCCCAGCUUGCUACAGUAGCUAAAUCCGUUCUUGGUCCUGUUAAACUCAGCAGUGUUUCUGACAGAAAGGACCCGAAGCCAUCCAGAGGAGCAACCCCAGAAGUGCCCCAUACUGACCCCCUUUCAUUCCACUCCAAACAGGUCCCAGCUCCACAUCUAUCUCCGACCAGGCAGAGAACUGAGCGAGUUGCCUCUCCAGCAACCUCCCAGAGGUCAGCCAGAUCUUCAGCCCAGAAAGACUGUGCAGCCCCAGCACCGCCAUCCUGCAAGGACGUCCCAGGGUCUGUGGAUAGAGAGAAUGCUGCCACCUCUGCAUCUGUACAGCAGCUGGGUGCCGCUGCAGCUCAGGCCGCCCUCAAUGCAAGCCUCCCCGUCUCUGCAGCAUCUGAGCCACAGCGCAAGCGGUCCGAGCCCCAGACAGCAACUGUCACCAACGUCAUGUCCGCCUCCUCGCAACAAGACAAAGCAACCAGCAAGAAGACGUAG